ACCACUACUGCUGCUACUAUUAAUAAUAAUGAUAGUGAUUAAACAAAAGUCCCCCAAUAUUAGAAAAAAAAAACUUUUAUAAUGAGACUAAAGCAACAAAGUAAAACGAUACAAUUAAACAAGAAACAUGGGAAACAAGAUUUUAGAAAAGAUAUAAUAAAGAAUCUUCAAAUUUACUUUGGAUAA
rnacentral:lncRNA from 1 species